CUUGCUAUCCAGAGAGCGGCGUACGGGUGCGUAACACGUGUGCAACCUGCCUUUAUCUGGGGGAUAGCCUUUCGAAAGGAAGAUUAAUACCCCAUAAUAUGGUGUCCGGCAUCGGUCGCCAUUGAAAGCCUCGGCGGAUAGAGAUGGGCACGCGCAAGAUUAGGUAGUUGGCGGGGUAACGGCCCACCAAGUCGAUGAUCUUUAGGGGUCCUGAGAGGGAGAUCCCCCACACUGGUACUGAGACACGGACCAGACUCCUACGGGAGGCAGCAGUGAGGAAUAUUGGACAAUGGGUGGAAGCCUGAUCCAGCCAUCCCGCGUGAAGGAUGACGGUCCUAUGGAUUGUAAACUUCUUUUGUACAGGGAUAAACCUGCCCUCGUGAGGGCAGCUGAAGGUACUGUACGAAUAAGCACCGGCUAACUCCGUGCCAGCAGCCGCGGUAAUACGGAGGGUGCGAGCGUUAUCCGGAUUUAUUGGGUUUAAAGGGUCCGUAGGCGGGCCUGUAAGUCAGUGGUGAAAUCUCAUAGCUUAACUAUGAAACUGCCAUUGAUACUGCAGGCCUUGAGUAAAUUUGAAGUGGCUGGAAUAAGUAGUGUAGCGGUGAAAUGCAUAGAUAUUACUUAGAACACCGAUUGCGAAGGCAGGUCACUAAGAUUUAACUGACGCUGAUGGACGAAAGCGUGGGGAGCGAACAGGAUUAGAUACCCUGGUAGUCCACGCCGUAAACGAUGCUAACUCGUUUUUGGAUCUUCGGGUUCAGAGACCAAGCGAAAGUGAUAAGUUAGCCACCUGGGGAGUACGUCCGCAAGGAUGAAACUCAAAGGAAUUGACGGGGGCCCGCACAAGCGGUGGAUUAUGUGGUUUAAUUCGAUGAUACGCGAGGAACCUUACCAAGACUUAAAUGGGAAUUGACAGAUUUAGAAAUAGAUCCUCCUUCGGGCAAUUUUCAAGGUGCUGCAUGGUUGUCGUCAGCUCGUGCCGUGAGGUGUUAGGUUAAGUCCUGCAACGAGCGCAACCCCUGCCAACAGUUGCCAUCAUUCAGUUGGGGACUCUGUUGGGACUGCCUACGCAAGUAGAGAGGAAGGUGGGGAUGACGUCAAAUCAUCACGGCCCUUACGUCUUGGGCCACACACGUAAUACAAUGGCCGGUACAGAGGGCAGCUACCUGGUGACAGGAUGCGAAUCUCGAAAGCCGGUCUCAGUUCGGAUUGGAGUCUGCAACUCGACUCUAUGAAGCUGGAAUCGCUAGUAAUCGCGCAUCAGCCAUGGCGCGGUGAAUACGUUCCCGGGCC
rnacentral:rRNA from 1 species